rnacentral:rRNA from 1 species
AGAGUUUGAUCCUGGCUCAGGAUGAACGCUAGCUACAGGCUUAACACAUGCAAGUCGAGGGGCAGCAUGAACUUAGCUUGCUAAGUUUGAUGGCGACCGGCGCACGGGUGAGUAACACGUAUCCAACCUUCCGUUUACUCAGGGAUAGCCUUUCGAAAGAAAGAUUAAUACCUGAUAGUAUGGUGAGAUUGCAUGAUAGCACCAUUAAAGAUUUAUUGGUAAACGAUGGGGAUGCGUUCCAUUAGGUAGUAGGCGGGGUAACGGCCCACCUAGCCUGCGAUGGAUAGGGGUUCUGAGAGGAAGGUCCCCCACAUUGGAACUGAGACACGGUCCAAACUCCUACGGGAGGCAGCAGUGAGGAAUAUUGGUCAAUGGGCGAGAGCCUGAACCAGCCAAGUAGCGUGAAGGAUGAAGGUCCUACGGAUUGUAAACUUCUUUUAUACGGGAAUAAAGUAUCCUACGUGUAGGAUUUUGUAUGUACCGUAUGAAUAAGCAUCGGCUAACUCCGUGCCAGCAGCCGCGGU